CCUACGGGAGGCAGCAGUGAGGAAUAUUGGUCAAUGGACGAGAGUCUGAACCAGCCAAGUAGCGUGAAGGAUGACUGCCCUAUGGGUUGUAAACUUCUUUUAUAUGGGAAUAAAAUGUUCCACGUGUGGGAUUUUGUAUGUACCAUAUGAAUAAGGAUCGGCUAACUCCGUGCCAGCAGCCGCGGUAAUACGGAGGAUCCGAGCGUUAUCCGGAUUUAUUGGGUUUAAAGGGAGCGUAGGUGGAUUGUUAAGUCAGUUGUGAAAGUUUGCGGCUCAACCGUAAAAUUGCAGUUGAAACUGGCAGUCUUGAGUACAGUAGAGGUGGGCGGAAUUCGUGGUGUAGCGGUGAAAUGCUUAGAUAGCACGAGGAACUCCGAUUGCGAAGGCAGUUCACUGGACUGCAACUGACACUGAGGCUCGAAAGUGUGGGUAUCAAACAGGAUUAGAUACCCCAGUAGUC
rnacentral:rRNA from 1 species